CCAGCUGUGUGGCUUUGGGCAAGUUAUUUAACCUCUCUGUGCCUCAACUUCUUCAUGUAAACUGGCAGUAAUAAUAAUACGAAUGCCACAGAGCUGUGGAUGAAAUGAGCCCAUUCCGGUCUGGCUUCUUUAACCAGGAAGAUGUGGGCUGAGAGCUGUGGAGUAGAUGUCUUCACCAGAUGAGUACACAGAGAAGUAGAGAAUGUGUAUCUGCAGAGUAGGAUGAAGCAGAGACAAGUCUUGUGAAUAAGGUAUUCAGGAAGCACAGCUGUCUUUUGUUCCUGAAGCCGUAUCAGGAUUCAGCAGGAAAGAGCACCAAGAUCACUUGGCAAUGUUUAUCCUGAUCAAGCACGGGCACUGAUGGCAGAUGCAGGACAAAGGACAGAACUCUAAGUCAUCCCUGUGCUCACCUGAGACAAAUGCAUGUCUGAUUGCUUCCACUGAUGUAAAAAUGCAGAUUUGCUGAGUUAGACGAAGACGAUGGCAGAGAGCAGUCUUCAUCCUGAGCCCCAUUCCUAGGCAUUUCAGCUGCUCCUAUUUCUUUCUUUUUGGACUCUUCUAGAAAAACAGAGAAAUCAAACAGGAAGCUGCUGCUGGGGAGUUCUGUGUUGGAUAGGAUAGUGUGGCCAGGCUCACUGUUCUACUACCUCAAACCCCAAGGUUUCAGCAUGACUCAGGGGGUGCAAACUCCAAAAGGUCUAACUUGGAAUGUGACUUAGGAACUCUGGCCAGUCUCCCUUGCUCAGAUCUGAAACUGGGAAAUUUUCAAAACCCAAAACCUUGCAUAAUCAGAAAGAAUAAAUCCCUAUAAGGAAGAGAAACACAAUGGAAAAUUCCACUGGAGAUAUCUGAAAUUGCCUGACUCUUGUGUCAGCAACUGGGAGGUCAGAUGGCCACAAAGAGUACACAGUUGGACAAGAUCUAUCCUUCUAGGAAGUGGAUUCCUGGAGGGUACUUCUGGUCAUUAAAAGUUGCUUGAAAACUGUAGAAACUAAGACCCAGUGUUGUGUUUGUGCGUGUAUGUGCAGUGGCGCAAUCAUAGCUCACUGUCACCUAUUAUUCCUGGGCUCAAGCGAUCCUUUUGCCUCAGCCUCUGGAAUAGUUAGGACUACAGGUGCACUGCCACCACCACACCCAGUUAACUUUUUAAAUUUCCUUGUAGAAACAGAGUCUCUGUGUUCCCAGACUGGUGUUGAACUCCUGGCCUCGGCCUCCUGAAGUGCUGGGAUUACCGGCAUGAGCCACUGUUCCCAGUCCUGGUCUUCUUAAUGAUUGUUUCAGAACUACUCAUGAUCAAAGAUCAGUUAGGCAAAUGGUUCUCAAUCCUGGCUAACGCUAGAAUCGAUCACCUGUAAAAUUUCUUUAAGAAUCCGGAUGCCCAGGACCCAUUCCCAGAGAUUUGGAUUUAAUUGGUCUGGAGUGACACCCAGGCCCAGGUAUUUUCCAAUGUGUCCAAUGUUGAGAAACACUGAAUUAGACAAAGUAGGGCAAAACUGUCAUUUAUUUUUGUAUUUGCUAUGCCUAACACAGUAUCUGUCCCUUAGUUAGGUAUUCCGUAAGAGUUCAUGGAAUAUGUAUGUGAAUAAAUGAACUAGUGUCAUCACAUAAACAACUUUCAGCACUUAGGUUGCACUUUAUGGGUUUCAAAAUACUUUUGUAUGUGCUGCUCUCAUUUUAGUCUGUUAAAAAGGUAAACUGAGGCACAAAAAAUUAUUUUUAAGGUUUAUUUGAGCAAACAAUGAAUCAUGAAUCACACAGCUCCAAACCAGGAGCAGUUUAGGGGCUCCAUUAAGGAAGUAUGAAAGAGGGACAGGC
rnacentral:lncRNA from 1 species